rnacentral:sRNA from 1 species
CAAGAAUUAGUAGCUGGACAAGAAUAAGAGCUAAAGUACACUACAAUUAAAUUAAAAGUUUAAUUUAUAUAAAGAUUGAUGUUGGAGUAAAUUAAAUCAUAUGUCAAUCAACAUCGACCAUCACUACACCUGUAAAUCCAGAUUCAGUAGCUUUUCCAGAUCGCCAAGGCUGCAAAGUCGAUGUUCCAGCUUGGGCUCUACGUCAAUGGCCGCACCGGCUCAUUUGUCGUCGUGAUGAAGCUUUGCGACAUGAUGAAUGUGGCGGCACCGAACAACGAGCUCGUAGAGUUACGUUCGAUUAUGUCGCUUCAACAGUGGUUGUCGCUAUUCGAGGUGGAUCUGCUACUGUGCAGGUGCGCUGUGAAUCGAUGGAUCUGGUCACGGUGAUGGAGUUUCUGCUGUUUGAUGAUGAGAGGUCGAGGAUAAUCUCUGCAGUCUAUUCCGGAUUACUCAAUCCGGUAAGUUAGUUCUAUUAGGAAAUUUUUUAAUUUAAAGAGGAUAGUAAAAGAAUAGAUAAAAUUGUAAAGAUGAGAGUAAAGAUGGGGAUAAGAAUUAGAUAAAAAUAUCAUAUACGUAACUAUAACAAUAUCGAUGAGAUGGUCAAAUUUAAAAAGUCACCAUAAAACAUAAAUGAGGUAGAAGAGAAAAACAAAAUUGGUUCUUCAUGUUUUAAUUUUGCAUUUAGAUUUUGUACACUUUGUAAAUUUACAACAAAAGCUUUAUUAUAUGAGCAUUUGAUUUUACAACUUGCUCCUCUGAACUAACUCUUCUCGAUGACAUUCUCCUUAGGAGGAGUGAUUCUUGAGCAUCUGAAAAUUUGAAAUGGGAGGAUUUAUGCUUUUCUGGAUGACGAUUCAAAGGGAUCGGGUUGCCCAUUAUUAGAGAAUUUUGCAGAAAACAUAGGCAAUGGCACUGCUUGUUUAAGAACAUUUAUAACCUGUUCUGAGGUUGGCCUUUCCUUGUGGUCUUGGAGGGUACACCAUAUUCCUACAUUGAGCAAGCAUUUCAUUUCAUAUAUGUCAAAAUCCAUCUUCAAUUCCUCAUCAGCAGCAUUCAAAAUAUUCCCAUCCACGUAAUGUUUCCAUACCCAUUUCGCCAAAGGCACAUGAUUAUCUUCGCCAUCCUGGUACCCAUAUGUCCCCACCACCUUUGUCCUCUGAGUCCUCAAUCUUGGAUCCACCAACCUUGCUAUCCCAAAGUCACCAAUCUUUGUGUUGAAAUCUGUGUCCAACAAAACAUUAGCUGAUUUUAUGUCCCUAUGAAGAACACUUUGCUCCGCGUCUUCAUGAAGAUAACGAAGUGCUCUAGCCACACCUAAUGCUAUCUUGUAUCUCACAUCCCAUGUCAAACUUCUUCUGUUGCCAAACAGAUGAUUGUCAAGGCUUCCAUUGCUCAUGUACUCAAAAACCAGUAAUAACUCUUCUUUCUCUUGGCACCACCCCAUGAAUUGCACAAGGUUUCUAUGUAUAAGACGACUUAUAAUGUUCACCUCGUUUCUAAAUAUUCUCUCAGAAUCUUCAACAUCAGAAAAAAUCCUUUUCACAGCAACCACGCGCCCUGAAUCUCCCAGAAACCCUUUGUAAACUUGUCCAGAGCCUCCUUCUCCCAGUCUUCUAUCAUCUGCAAACCCGUUCGUGGCUGCAACUAUUUCCUCAUAACCAAACCUUCUAGGCAUAACAUCUCUAUCUAAACCAAAACCAUCCUCUGUUCUUCUCCUUUUGAUAAUCAACCAAGAAAUACUAAUAACCACAAGCACAAAAACAACAGAACAAAUGACUAAUAACUACUAUCUUGACCUGAACCUUGCAUUUGGUUGCGAUGGCACUGUCCACUCCAUGCGUAGAAUUAAGAUCUAGGUUUGAACUGAACUCCCAGGAAUGGAUCACGUUUUUCUCAGUGGACGAUCCAGUUGAACCCGAAAACCCAACAUUGACCCACUCCGGCAAAAUUGCCCGCAGGUCAAUCUUGUACGAAAGAUAACCGCUAGGAGUAGAAGAAGAUUUAGUUCCAUCAAAGGACCACGAAACAGCCAGGAGUUGGGCAGAAGCAUUGUAAGUUAUCAACGCAUGCACCAUCUUCCCUAAGUUGUUUUCAAUAUCAAACUUGCUAUAAUUGAGAGAUGCCACAGAGUUAUUGUUGAUCCCUACGUGUUGCAUUGGUGGGUCUAACUCGUUUAUAAAAGUGUCAAAUUCGACAGCAAUGAUGUUAUUUUGGGUGGCAUCGUAUAGGCCGAGAAAGGAGCCAUCGGCGGUCGGUAUCUGGUAUAAAAGGGGUGCCAAGAAGAAGGCAAAGCCAUCACCGUAUUUGGCUACUGUUGUGUCGAUAGUGAAUGAAAAACGAGUUGAAAAAUCAGUGGCAAGUCCAUCAGAAGAGUCUUUUAGGCGUAGAGGCUGGCCAUAAAUGGCUCUUCCAUUUCCAUUCUCGAUGAUUGGGUUGAGCACAACAGAUCCGUCCUCAACCUUGGCCACGCCGGCGUAUGCAACGAUGCUUGCAUUUUUAGUGUCGUUAAAGUUAGUUAUGGUGAAGGAAAGUGGUCGAGCCAAGUUUAUUGGAAGGAUACAGAUGACGAGGAACAGAAGAAAAGCUUUCGAGUAGUGGAAAUUUUCGAUGGUUGGCAACAUGGUUUAUUACCACUGAGUCUAAGCUUGAGAUAAUGGCAAGACAUAACAUUGGAUAGUUUAUAUGCCCGUACCAUAAAUUAUAAUAGCACGUUUUGUGAACCCCUAAACAAAGACUUUUUAUUAUCUUCUUAAUGUGACCGGAUCAAAAAUUUAAUUAGUGAAGUUGCUUGGAGUUCAGAAAAAAAUUGCAGGGUCAAGAAUAAUAUUAUCAUAAUCAUGCAAGUUUUUCUUGACA